AUUGAACGCUGGCGGCAGGCCUAACACAUGCAAGUCGAGCGGGGUUUUCGGACCUAGCGGCGGACGGGUGAGUAAUGCGUAGGAAGCUACCCGAUAGAGGGGGAUACCAGUUGGAAACGACUGUUAAUACCGCAUAAUGUCUACGGACCAAAGUGUGGGACCUUCGGGCCACAUGCUAUCGGAUGCGCCUACGUGGGAUUAGCUAGUUGGUGAGGUAAUGGCUCACCAAGGCGACGAUCCCUAGCUGGUUUGAGAGGAUGAUCAGCCACACUGGAACUGAGACACGGUCCAGACUGCUACGGGAGGCAGCAGUGGGGAAUAUUGGACAAUGGGCGCAAGCCUGAUCCAGCCAUGCUGCGUGUGUGAAGAAGGCCUUCGGGUUGUAAAGCACUUUCAGUAGGGAGGAAGCGUUGUGUGUUAAUAGUACACAGCGUUGACGUUACCUACAGAAGAAGCACCGGCUAACUCUGUGCCAGCCGCCGCGGUAACAC
rnacentral:rRNA from 1 species